rnacentral:rRNA from 1 species
GAUGAACGCUGGCGGCGUGCCUAAUACAUGCAAGUCGAGCGAACGGACGAGGAGCUUGCUUUUCUGACGUUAGCGGCGGACGGGUGAGUAACACGUGGAUAACCUACCUAUAAGACUGGGAUAACUUCGGGAAACCGGAGCUAAUACCGGAUAAUAUUUUGAACCGCAUGGUUCAAUAGUGAAAGACGGUCUUGCUGUCACUUAUAGAUGGAUCCGCGCUGCAUUAGCUAGUUGGUAAGGUAACGGCUUACCAAGGCAACGAUGCAUAGCCGACCUGAGAGGGUGAUCGGCCACACUGGAACUGAGACACGGUCCAGACUCCUACGGGAGGCAGCAGUAGGGAAUCUUCCGCAAUGGGCGAAAGCCUGACGGAGCAACGCCGCGUGAGUGAUGAAGGUCUUCGGAUCGUAAAACUCUGUUAUUAGGGAAGAACAAAUGUGUAAGUAACUAUGCACGUCUUGACGGUACCUAAUCAGAAAGCCACGGCUAACUGCGUG